AGAACGAACGCUGGCGGCAGGCCUCAAACAUGCAAGUCUAGGGGGUAGCAAUACCACCGGCGGACGGGUGCGUAACGCGUGGGAAUGUACCUACUGGUUCGGAACAACUGCGGGAAACUGCAGCUAAUACCGAAUGUGCCCGCAAGGGGAAAGAUUUAUCGCCAGUAGAUCAGCCCGCGUAGGAUUAGCUAGUUGGUGGGGUAAUGGCUCACCAAGGCUCCGAUCCUUAGCUAUUCUGAGAGGAAGAUCAGCCACACUGGGACUGAGACACGGCCCAGACUCCUACGGGAGGCAGCAGUUGGGAAUCUUGGACAAUGGGGGAAACCCUGAUCCAGCCAUGCCGCGUGAGUGAUGAAGGCCUUCGGGUUGUAAAACUCUUUCGGACGGGACGAUAAUGACGGUACCCGUAGAAGAAGCUCCGGCUAACUUCGUGCCAGCAGCCGC
rnacentral:rRNA from 1 species